rnacentral:rRNA from 1 species
AUUGAACGCUGGCGGCAGGCCUAACACAUGCAAGUCGAACGGUAGCACAGAGAGCUUGCUCUCGGGUGACGAGUGGCGGACGGGUGAGUAACGUCUGGGAAACUGCCCGAUGGAGGGGGAUCACUACUGGAAACGGUAUCUAAUACCGCAUAACGUCGCAAGACCAACGGGGGGGACCUUAGGGCCUCACACCAUCGGAUGUGCCCAGAUGGGAUUAGUAAGUAGGUGGGGUAAAGGCUCACCUAGGCGACGAUCCCUAGCUGGUCUGAGAGGAUGACCAGACACACUGGAACUGAGACACGGUCCAGACUCCUACGGGAGGCAGCAGUGGGGAAUAUUGCACAAUGGGCGCAAGACUGAUGCAGCCAUGCCGCGUGUAUGAAGAAGGCCUUCGGGAUGUAAAGUACUUUCAGCGGGGAGGAAGGCGGUGAAGUUAAUAGCUUAACCGAUUGACGUUACCCGCAGAAGAAGCACCGGCUAACUCCGUGCCAGCAGCCGCAGUAA